rnacentral:lncRNA from 1 species
CCACCAUCUUGGAGCUCAGUGCCCUCAUAGUGUAACAGCACCAGCAGAUCUGCCUGUGCACAGACUUCCUGUACUACCUCACUCCUGAGGGGAGAUGCUUCUGCAGGGCCUGCGACCUGGUGCACAACUUUAGACACCAUCAUCCUGGAGCGGCACUGCACCCUCACUAGCCAGGGUGUUGAUGACUUCCUCAAUGCCAAGGCCACGUUCAAGAUUUUCGACUUCAGUGAUGCGUUUGUGCUGAGCAAGCCAAGAGACCCAAGCCUGCCUUGCUGCCACUUAGGAUAUGACAGCACAGCCAGUGGCCUCUACUGGAUCCUGGUACCCCUCAGAAGACACCCAGACACUGGGAGUGCUGCCACCUCGUGGUGCAAGAGUUCUGAGGGACGGCAAUUCUGAAGACAUUGAAUGUUGUUAUAUGAAAAAACUGAGGCAAAGAGCAAUACAGAGAGUUGCAAAAAUUCAUACCGCUGGUCCAGGUUUGAACCAAACAGUCUGCACCUGGAGUCCUUGUUUGUAACCAUGGCACCCUGUCUUCACACAUAUCUCAUCGUGGAGUUCCAUCUUGUGUUAGCCGUUUUGCACACCCUGGUCAGAAUGAAACAUUCCUUGGGAACUCGGGCCGUGAGAAGCAUCCUUCCUGAUCACCUGACUGUAGAAACAUCCUUAUCGCACCCUCCCGGGCAAAGGCCCAACAGCCUGACUGCAGGAACAUCCUUGCCAUAUCCUGCCGGGCAGCAAGCUCUACCGCCCACACCCCUCCUUCCC